rnacentral:rRNA from 1 species
CCUACGGGAGGCUGCAGUGAGGAAUAUUGGUCAAUGGCCGAGAGGCUGAACCAGCCAAGUCGCGUGAGGGAAGACGGCCCUACGGGUUGUAAACCUCUUUUGUCGGGGAGCAAAGCGAGUCACGUGUGACUCAUUCAGAGUACCCGAAGAAAAAGCAUCGGCUAACUCCGUGCCAGCCGCCGCGGUAAUACGGAGGAGGCGAGUGUUAUCAGGAUUUAUUGGGUUUAAAGGGUGCGCAGGGGGAGGUGCAAGUCCGCGGUCAAAUUGCGGGGCUCAACCCCGUACUGCCGUUGAAACGGCAUCCCUUGAGUGCGCGAGAAGUAGGCGGAAUGCGUGGUGUAGCGGUGAAAUGCAUAGAUAUCACGCAGAACUCCGAUUGCGAAGGCAGCAUACCGGCGCGCAACUGACGCUGAUGCACGAAAGCGUGGGUAUCGAACAGGAGUAGAUACCCGUGUAGUC